AGGUUAGUAAAGUGGCGCACGGGUGAGUAACGCGUGGGUAAUCUGCCCUUUGGUUUGGGAUAACCCCGGGAAACCGGAGCUAAUACCGAAUAAGACCACGAUGAUUUCGGUCGAUGUGGGAAAAGGUGGCCUCUUCUUGAAAGCUACCACCAAUGGAUGAGCCCGCGUUUGAUUAGCUUGUUGGUGAGGUAAAAGCUCACCAAGGCUACGAUCAAUAGCUGGUCUGAGAGGAUGAUCAGCCACACUGGAACUGAGACACGGUCCAGACUCCUACGGGAGGCAGCAGUCGGGAAUAUUGGGCAAUGGGCGAAAGCCUGACCCAGCAACGCCGCGUGAAGGAUGAAGGCCCUAGGGUCGUAAACUUCUGUCGAGAGGGAAGAAUGCUUGCGGGUAAAUAAUCCGCAAGUUUGACGGUACCUCCAAAGGAAGCACCGGCUAACUCCGUGCCAGCAGCCGCGGUAAUACGGAGGGUGCAAGCGUUGUUCGGAUUUAUUGGGCGUAAAGCGAGUGUAGGCGGCUUAGCAAGUCGGAUGUGAAAUCCCAGGGCCCAACCCUGGAACUGCAUCCGAUACUGUUAGGCUAGAAUUCCGGAGAGGGUGGCGGAAUUCCCGGUGUAGGGGUGAAAUCCGUAGAUAUCGGGAGGAACACCAGUGGCGAAGGCGGCCAC
rnacentral:rRNA from 1 species